rnacentral:rRNA from 1 species
CCCCCUUCUUCUGGAUAACCGCAUGAAAGUGUGGCUAAUACGGGAUAUUCUGGGUCUGUCGCAUGAUGGGCCCGGGAAAGAUGCGCCUUUGGGUGUUUUUGGUGGGGGAUGGGCUCGCGGCCUAUCAGCUUGUUGGUGGGGUGAUGGCCUACCAAGGCGGUGACGGGUAGCCGGCCUGAGAGGGUGGACGGUCACACUGGGACUGAGACACGGCCCAG